rnacentral:rRNA from 1 species
AACGAACGCUGGCGGCAUGCCUAACACAUGCAAGUCGAACGAGACCUUCGGGUCUAGUGGCGCACGGGUGCGUAACGCGUGGGAACCUGCCCUUAGGUUCGGAAUAACUCCCCGAAAGGGGUGCUAAUACCGGAUAAUGUCUUCGGACCAAAGAUUUAUCGCCUUUGGGUGGGCCCGCGUUGGAUUGGCUAGUUGGUAGGGUAAAAGCCUACCAAGGCGACGAUCCAUAGCUGGUCUGAGAGGAUGAUCAGCCACACUGGGCAUGAGACACGGCCCAGACUCCUACGGGAGGCAGCAGUGGGGAAUAUUGGGCAAUGGGCGAAAGCCUGAUCCAGCAAUGCCGCGUGAGUGAUGAAGGCCUUAGGGUUGUAAAGCUCUUUUACCCGGGAUAAUAAUGACAGUACCGGGUGAAUAAGCUCCGGCUAACUCCGUG